AAUAUGUCAAAUUUACAUAAAAUUUGCUUCAAAAUAGUGUUAAAUAGUGUAUUAAAUUUUUGUAUUAAUUUUUUACACAAUAUUUCUAUUUUUCUUUUUUUUUUACAUACCCGCCUUGUGUUAAAUUAACACGAAAAUCGUGAGUGGAGUUUCUGAGACAUGUGAAAUGUCUUAAACUUAACAUAAAAAUUUUUCACCGCGUUUUUUUACGUAUUAAACUUCUCUGCCUUGAAUUAAUUAGUAAAACGAAGAGAUACGAUCAAAUUUAUCGGAGUCGACCGAUGAAGCUGCAGGGACAUUAAGCUGACAUUAAGCCAACAGAACGUAUUAAUUGCACUCGAGACAAUUACGGAAUCACGUGUAAUUAAGCACGAUACAGAUGCGUGCCAGGACAGCGUCGCGUUUCACCACUAUCGUCAUUAAUCACCGAAGGUCCGUGAAGGAUUCGCAGGUGUGGUUGCGCAAGUGAAAGAGAGCUUCGACGUGAGUGGCCGUGAGCGCGCAAUAAGGAGGUGGCUCUCCGCGAAAUCCGCUCACGGCGGGUCGCGGCUUUUAUCGGUCUCGGCUCGAUAAUGAUUUUUUAAUGACGUCCGGGAAGCUUCGUUCUGCCGCGCGUUCCCACGCGCACCGCCGUUACGCUACUUUUUCGUCGCAUGUUAACUAUCGAUACUGUUCCGCGAGCACGCAGUCGAAAGCAACAAUUCAGAACGAGCCAGUACUUUGUGUUCCGCACGGAGAAAACGCCAAGGAUAUCGCACUUCUCUGCCAGUUCAGUAAGGCGAUGGAGUCGUGAAGUCUUGAAUACAAUUUGCGGGGCCGAGGGAACGCUUCCCUUUCUAUACAUGCCAUUCCUUUUCAGUCGUUAUUAUUCGAUUGAGCGUCAAUGAAAGAACGCAGCUUGAGAGACGAUAUAUAGACAUCAACAAACAAAUAACAAUGAGACGGUAUCAACGGCACAAAAACACGUUAAUUGUUCGCGAUUUCUUUCUGUUUCUCCACGUGCGGACGAAGAAGAUCGCGGGACGUCUUUGUGCGCGCUUCUUUGUCCGUUUUCUUGGAAAGAAAUUAAACUUUUGCAGCUCGUAUUGGCGCUACCGAGUCGUUUCGCACUUCUUAGACCGCAUUAAACGAGACUCGGAAGGGUGAAAGUCCGGACGGCGCCUGCUGGACUGAGAGGCACCCUCGUAAUCUGGCAAUCACCUUUCGGUUAGUUCGACCGACCCUUUCGCGCCCUCUUCGGACCUCUCUUCCAUUUAAAAGCCCUGUCACCGGUGCCGCCGGCGAGCAAAAUGAAAGGCGAAACCCCACGCUGACGCGUUGACAUGAUCAGUCCUUGAGUAUUAAUUUGCAUGUUAAUCGAAAACUUAUUUUUAAUUAUCUGUAUUAGAAAGGGUAAGAGUGCCUUCCGCUGGAGAUUACCGCUUAUUGCAAUUAAGCGAGUCAACUCUAGUUUAGCGACCUAAGAAAUUCAGUUCUUGAUAUAUAUAGUGAUUGUUAAAUAUUGAAUUAUAUUGCACAUAGUCAUAAAAUGUUAAUAGUUGAAGAUAACCAUCACUUAAAAGAAAUAAAGUAAAUUGAGUAAUCGUUUUUCUCAGUAGUGGAAUAUUUUUUUAUGUAGAUAUUUAUAAAAAUAAGUAUAUGUUAAGAAAAUACUGAGUCUCUUAACGAACCAAUUUGUUUAACUAAACUGUAAAAAAUGAAUAUGUCAAUAAAAGGUUAAGUGUAUUCUUACAAAUUUUAUGGCUCACCUAAUAAUGAUAUUUAGAUUGAUGAAGCAACGUCAAAAUAUUCAUCGUGAGGUAAAUAAUUCCCCAUCCUCUCUUCCUUCCUGAAAUUUUAUUGAAACAUACCGCGAGCACAACCGCUAUGAAUCUUAUAAAGAUCCGCGGACCUCGUAAAUAUAAACAUUCAUGGUAUCCUUCGACGGAGGGAGAGCGACAGAGAA